rnacentral:tRNA from 1 species
GGAAGGGCAUCGUAUCCGGUGGUGCGCCUGGAUUUCAAAUCCAGUGAGGGGCGUUAGACGUCCUUGGUGGGUUCGACUCCCACGCCUUUCCGCCA